rnacentral:rRNA from 1 species
AACGAACGCUGGCGGCGCGCUUUACACAUGCAAGUCGAACGGCAGGAAGGGGCUUGCCCCUUCUGCGCGUGGCGGACUGGUGAGUAACACGUGGGUGACAUACCUCUUAGUUGGGGAUAGCUCUUCGGAAUAGUAGGUCAUACAGAGUGUGACCGUACCUGUUAGAGGGGUACGAGGAGAGGAGCUAAGGCUUUGCUAAAAGACUGGCUCGCGGCCCAUUUUGUUCGUUGGUGGGGUCAUGGCCUACCAAGGCGAGGAUGGGUAUCCGGCCUGGGGGGGGGAACGGCCACAUUGGAACGUAGAUACGGCCCAGACGUCUACGAUAGGCAGCAGUCAAGAAUAUGCCGCAAUGGACGAAAGUCUGGCGGAGCGACGCCGCGUGUAUGAAGAAAGCCGAAAGUGUGGAAAAUCCUUUUAAGCCUGAUGAAUAAGCACAGUAUGUAAUGAUGGGUCGGUGACCGUAGUGGGUGAAGAAGCACCGGCUAAUUACGUG